rnacentral:rRNA from 1 species
AUACGAAGGGGGCUAGCGUUGUUCGGAUUUACUGGGCGUAAAGCGCACGUAGGCGGAUUGAUUAGUUAGGGGUGAAAUCCCGAGGCUCAACCUCGGAACUGCCUCUAAAACUGUCAAUCUCGAGACCGGAAGAGGUGAGUGGAACUCCUAGUGUAGAGGUGGAAUUCGUAGAUAUUAGGAAGAACACCAGUGGCGAAGGCGGCUCACUGGUCCGGUACUGACGCUGAGGUGCGAAAGCGUGGGGAGCGAACAGGAUUAGAAACCCUUGUAGUCC